AUGCAGAUCUUUGUGAAGACCCUUACGGGGAAAACCAUCACGCUCGAGGUUGAACCCUCGGACACUAUAGAAAAUGUAAAGGCCAAGAUCCAGGAUAAGGAAGGAAUUCCUCCUGAUCAGCAGAGGCUGAUCUUUGCUGGUAAGCAGCUGGAAGAUGGCCGGACUUUGUCUGACUACAACAUUCAAAAGGAGUCCACCCUUCAUCUGGUGUUGAGACUUCGGGGUGGUGCUAAGAAAAGGAAGAAGAAGUCUUACACCACUCCCAAGAAGAACAAGCAUAAGAGGAAGAAGGUUAAGUUGGCUGUGCUGAAAUACUAUAAGGUGGAUGAAAAUGGCAAAAUUAGCCGACUUCGUCGAGAGUGUCCUUCUGAUGAGUGUGGUGCUGGAGUUUUCAUGGGAAGCCACUUUGACAGGCAUUACUGUGGCAAGUGUUGUCUGACUUACUGCUUCAACAAACCAGAAGACAAGUAG
rnacentral:lncRNA from 1 species